rnacentral:rRNA from 1 species
UACUCCUACGGGAGGCAGCAGUGGGGAAUAUUGGACAAUGGACCGAGAGUCUGAUCCAGCAAUUCUGUGUGCACGAUGAAGUUUUUCGGAAUGUAAAGUGCUUUCAGUUGGGAAGAAAGAAAUGACGGUACCAACAGAAGAAGUGACGGCUAAAUACGUGCCAGCAGCCGCGGUAAUACGUAUGUCACGAGCGUUAUCCGGAUUUAUUGGGCGUAAAGCGCGUCUAGGUGGUUAUGUAAGUCUGAUGUGAAAAUGCAGGGCUCAACUCUGUAUUGCGUUGAAACUGUAUAACUAGAGUACUGGAGAGGUAAGCGGAACUACAAGUGUAGAGGUGAAAUUCGUAGAUAUUUGUAGGAAUGCCGAUGGGGAAGCCAGCUUACUGGACAGAUACUGACGCUGAAGCGCGAAAGCGUGGGUAGCAAACAGGAUUAGAUACCCUGGUAGUCCACGCCGUAAACGAUGAUUACUAGGUGUUGGGGGUCGAACCUCAGCGCCCAAGCAAACGCGAUAAGUAAUCCGCCUGGGGAGUACGUACGCAAGUAUGAAACUCAAAGGAAUUGACGGA